rnacentral:rRNA from 1 species
AUUGAACGCUGGCGGCAGGCCUAACACAUGCAAGUCGAGCGGAUGAAGGGAGCUUGCUCCUGGAUUCAGCGGCGGACGGGUGAGUAAUGCCUAGGAAUCUGCCUGGUAGUGGGGGAUAACGUCCGGAAACGGGCGCUAAUACCGCAUACGUCCUGAGGGAGAAAGUGGGGGAUCUUCGGACCUCACGCUAUCAGAUGAGCCUAGGUCGGAUUAGCUAGUUGGUGGGGUAAAGGCCUACCAAGGCGACGAUCCGUAACUGGUCUGAGAGGAUGAUCAGUCACACUGGAACUGAGACGCGGUCCAGACUCCUACGGGAGGCAGCAGUGGGGAAUGUUGGACGAUGGGCGAAAGCCUGAUCCAGCCAUGCCGCGUGGGUGAAGAAGGUCUUCGGAUUGUAAAGCACUUUAAGUGGGGAGGAAGGGCAGUAAGUUAAUACCUUGCUGUUUUGACGUUACCAACAGAAUAAGCACCGGCUAACUUCGUG